AGAGAGGUUCUUCUGAGAACCACAAAAUGCAUCAAAAGACACGUAC
rfam:Phlebotomus papatasi Contig45455.1, whole genome shotgun sequence.